rnacentral:sRNA from 1 species
ACAAGAAGAAAGAAAAAUGUAACAAACAAGAAAAGGCUCGGCAAAGAAAUGAAAAAA